rnacentral:rRNA from 1 species
GAUGAACGCUUGCGGCAGGCUUAACACAUGCAAGUCGAGGGGCAGCACGUCUUCGGAUGGUGGCGACCGGCGCACGGGUGCGUAACACGUAUGCAACCUACCCUUUACUGAGGAAUAACCUUUCGAAAGGAAGACUAAUACCUCAUGGUUCCAUGAUAUCGCAUGGUAUUUUGGAUAAAGAUUUAUCGGUAGAGGAUGGGCAUGCGUCCCAUUAGUUAGUUGGCGAGGUAACGGCUCACCAAGACCGCGAUGGGUAGGGGUUCUGAGAGGAUGAUCCCCCACACUGGUACUGAGACACGGACCAGACUCCUACGGGAGGCAGCAGUGAGGAAUAUUGGGCAAUGGACGGAAGUCUGACCCAGCCAUGCCGCGUGCAGGAAGACGGCCUUAUGGGUUGUAAACUGCUUUUCUAUUAGAAGAACGCCGGGUACGCGUACCCGUUUGACGGUAUAAUAGGAAUAAGCAUCGGCUAACUCCGUGCCAGCCGCCGCCGUAACAC